rnacentral:lncRNA from 1 species
GUAUCAUUCGAAAUAUGAAAGGUAGAAGCUCGAUGCAUAGUCAUGAUGUAAUAAAAUACAAUGAAGCAUGUUGUUAUUAAUAUCUGAGUUAUUAUUUUUGAAGAACGUGAUAGCAUAUGAGAGCAUAGUGUGCCUAGCUCGGCACACAACCAUUUUCUUAACCGCUUUUCGCAUCGUAACAAUCUCUCUCUCAAUAAUCUUGUCACACCCUAAUAAUCCCACAUCGGAUAUGAAUGGGGAUGUGAUUGAGUAUAUACGAGACUUAGACACUAGUAAUAAUAAUUGGACUUAAGCAUUUUGGGCCAGUGGUAUAGGCCCAACGAGUUAUUAUUGUUAGCGGGUCGGAUCGUUACAUUUGGUAGUUCACUAGUCGGAAGUAUGAGAUGAGUCUUG